GUCAUACUCUAGAAGAGAGCUGUAGGUCUUGACUCUCAAAGUCAUUGUCUCUCAUUAGUGUAGAUGUUGCUCCUGGUGAUCAUUAUAUUUUCUUUCCUAAAAGAGAAUGCUGCUGCUGAUGUCAUAAAACCAGUCUUCACAGAGAAGCAGGUUUUGGCAGGAAAAAAUGUUACACUGAUCUGCAACUACACUGGAAAUGUUCAGAAUUUACAGUGGUACCGUCAGUAUCCUGGAUCCAAACCUGAGCACCUCAUUAUGUUCUUUGAAACCAGCCCUAAACCAGAGCCUGCUCUCCGUCUGACCGCUGCGGCUGAUAAAGCAGCCAAAAGUAUGACUCUGACCAUCUCUUCUACAGAAGUGAAAGACUCUGCCAUGUACUACUGUGCCCUGGUGCCCACAGUGGCAGGAAACACAGCUACACUGUACAAAAACUUGUUUCUUGUAUAUUAUAUAAUCAUGCUUAUAGGAGAGAGGAGCUUCUUCCCAUGCAGAGUCUCUUUUCCCACUUUCCUUGCAUUUGCUGUAGGGCCAUAAUGUUGUCUUUCUGAGUACUUUACUAUUUUAGCAAAUUUUCAUAGUGGUGGGCUAUAUAGGUAGACACGAUUAACUGGUAGAAAUUCGUCAAGUGGUAGAGAUUUUAGAGUAUGGUCUC